rnacentral:rRNA from 1 species
CCCUUAGAUGUCCUGGGCCGCACGCGCGCUACACUGACAUGUUCAACAAGCCUCCUAGUUCGACAGGAUUUGGGAAAUCUUUGAACGCAUGUCGUGAUAGGGAUAGAUCAUUGCAAUUAUUGAUCUUGAACGCGGAAUUCCUAGUAAACGCGAGUCAUCAGCUCGCAUUGAUUACGUCCCUGCCCUUUGUACACACCGCCCGUCGCACCUACCGAUUGAAUGUUUCGGUGAAGAUUCCGGAUAGGACUUUUUUGAUUUAUUUCAAUUCUGUCUUAAAAGCUAUCUAAACCUCAACAUUUAGAGGAAGGUGAAGUCGUAACA